GAGGGUGUAGCUCAGUUGUAGAGCACAUGUUUAGCAUGAGUGAGGUCCUGGGUUCAACCCCUAGUACCUCCA
rnacentral:tRNA from 1 species